AGCCGCGGUAAUUCCAGCUCCAAUAGCGUAUAUUAAAGUUGUUGUGGUUAAAAAGCUCGUAGUUGGAUCUCGGCGGACUGAGGGCGGUUUGCUUGCUAGUAUUACUGCCCUAUAGUCCGUAGUUUUGCCAGAGGUUUCGGGGUGCUCUUAAUCGAGUGUCCCGGGAUGCUGGCAGGUUUACUUUGAAAAAAUUAGAGUGCUCAAAGCAGGCUAUUACGCCUGAAUAUUCGUGCAUGGAAUAAUAGAAUAGGAAGUCGUUUCUAUUUUGUUGGUUUUCGGAAAUCGACUUAAUGAUUAAUAGGGACAGUCGGGGGCAUUUGUAUUCAAACGACAGAGGUGAAAUUCUUGGACCGUUUGAAGACAAACUACUGCGAAAGCAUUUGCCAAGAAUGUUUUCAUUAAUCAAGAACGAAAGUUAAAGGUUCGAAGGCGAUUAGAUACCGCCCUAGUUUUAACCAUAAACGAUGCCAGCUAGCGAUCUGCGGACGUUUUUUUUGUAGACUCCGCAGGAAGCUUCCGGGAAACCAAAGCAUUUGGGUUCCAGGGGAAGUAUGGUUGCAAAGCUGAAACUUAAAGGAAUUGACGGAAGGGCACCACCAGGAGUGGAGCCUGUGGCUUAAUUUGACUCAACACGGGAAAUCUCACCAGGCCCGGACACUGGAAGGAUUGACAGAUUGAUAGCUCUUUCUUGAUUCGGUGGGUGGUGGUGCAUGGCCGUUCUUAGUUGGUGGAGUGAUUUGUCUGGUUAAUUCCGAUAACGAACGAGACUCUGUCCUGCUAAAUAGUGUCUGCUUCUCUUUUGAGCAGACAAUUCUUCUUAGAGGGACUGGCGACUCUUAGUCGCACGAGAUUGAGCAAUAACAGGUCUGUGAUGC
rnacentral:rRNA from 1 species